CUGGAGCGAUACAGUGAAGGGGACUGAGGUUUUCGCAGCGUGUGCUCUCGGGCAAGGCUGGAUGGGUGCUAUGGGAUCGUUCGGGGUACAAUGCCUGGCAUUUUGCUUCGUGUCUUUUCUAUACUCGCUCAACUCAGCUCUUCCACGCUUAGGAUGUUGACUUAAUGGUUUUAAACGA
rnacentral:rRNA from 1 species